UACAGAGGGUGCGAGCGUUAAUCGGAAUUACUGGGCGUAAAGCGCGCGUAGGCGGCUUUGCAAGUCGGGUGUGAAAUCCCCAGGCUUAACCUGGGAACUGCAUUCGAGACUGCAUUGCUAGAGUAUGGGAGAGGGAAGUGGAAUUUCCGGUGUAGCGGUGAAAUGCGUAGAUAUCGGAAGGAACAUCAGUGGCGAAAGCGGCGCUCUGGGCCUAAACUGACGCUGAGGGGCGAAAGCGUGGGGAGCGAACGGG
rnacentral:rRNA from 1 species